UCGCCAAUACUGGCAAGAGUCGAGAGAACGAAAAAGAAGCGAACAACAACAAGAAUGGUUUUGCUAAAAUCGUGUUUGCCUUUGUGACAGAUGAUGAUGACAACGACAGCGGCUAUGAUGAUGAUGUUGGGAAUAAUUCGGCGUAAAAAUAAUCGCAUGCAGUGCAUUUGGGCUUGGAGUAGAUUAAGAAAGAGUAUGCGAGUGCGAGUACGAGUGAACGAGUGAGUGAGAAAGACGGAAAGAGAGAGAGAGAGAUAGGGAUAGAGGUAGAAAGACAAAGCGCCAGCCCCAGGAUACAUUCAUAAUAUUUCUCACUCAUUUGUGCCUGUAUCGCAAAUAUUUAUAAUAAUCCAUGGUGUCGAUGGGUGAAUACAGACAUAUGCACAUUAUGUCAUACGGUCUUGCCAUGUUUAUUUAGUCGACCACUUGAAACUGAAGUAAUGGUUGUUGUGCGCCUGUUUGCCAAAAAAAAAAGAAAAUCAUCCAUGCACACUGUCACAUACAUUUGCCGACCACUACAUUGCCAAAAAUUGUGUGUAUGUCGGCACACGCAAUCGACCGGAUCCGAAUCCGGAGCCGACACACAAGCGAGCAAGCGAUCAAGCGACGACGCGGCCAAUUGAAAGGGAAAUAAAACCGGAUGAUCUAAAGUAAAGAAGGGGAAAAAAAACGAGAACCAUCGUUAAAUGAAUGAAGUCAUAUGGAAAGUGGAUUUUGUGAAAAGUGCGUUUGAAAUGGAUUUUCUGGCAGUUUCACCUCUGAGAAAGAGAGAGGAAAAAUAGAAAUAGAAAACACGCUGUCAUAUGAAUGUUUGAUUUGAGCCAUACCGAUAUCGAGUGUGUGCAGUUGGCCGAGAUGAUGCUAAUACAUAAUAAAAUUCAUGUGCCGAAAAUAAAAAUGGUUUCCGCCGUUGUUGCUGCUGCUCUUUUUUCUCGUUCGACCAUUUCAACAAAUCAAAAGAGCAACAACAGCAAUGAUGCUUCUUCGAGUAACUGCUCAUAAAUAAUAACAACAAUUUUUCUCUUUA